rnacentral:rRNA from 1 species
UACGUAGGGUGCGAGCGUUAAUCGGAAUUACUGGGCGUAAAGCGUGCGCAGGCGGUGAGUCAAGUCUGAUGUGAAAGCCCCGGGCUCAACCUGGGAAUGGCAUGGGAAACUGUCUCGCUGGAGUGUGGCAGAGGGGGGUGGAAUUCCGCGUGUAGCAGUGAAAUGCGUAGAGAUGUGGAGGAACACCGGUGGCGAAGGCAGCCCCCUGGGCUAACACUGACGCUCAGGCACGAAAGCCAGGGGAGCAAACGGG